UACGAAGGGGGCUAGCGUUGCUCGGAAUCACUGGGCGUAAAGCGCACGUAGGCGGAUCGUUAAGUCGGAGGUGAAAUCCUGGAGCUCAACUCCAGAACUGCCUUCGAUACUGGCGAUCUUGGAGUCCGGGAGAGGUGAGUGGAACUCCGAGUGUAGAGGUGAAAUUCGUAGAUAUUCGCAAGAACACCAGUGGCGAAGGCGGCUCACUGGCCCGAUACUGACGCUGAAGCACGGAAAGCGUGGGGAGCAAACAGGG
rnacentral:rRNA from 1 species